CGCGGAACCUCGCGCGCCUGACCGGCUGCGUCUGAGGAAUGUCGCGUUCCGGAGGGGCCUUCUCCGACCACACCGACCCCCCCCAAGUCCGCUUGAACGCGGCCACUACCCAUGGAGGGUGCGAGGCCCGUACGGGGAUUAGGAGUCGGGCGGUCGGACGGCCCCGUCCGUAGAGUCGGGUUGCCUACUAACGCAGCCCAAAGCAGGUGGUAAACUCCAUCUAAGGCUAAAUAUGACCACGAGACCGAUAGCGAACAAGUACCGUGAGGGAAAGUUGAAAAGAACUUUGAAGAGAGAGUUCAAGAGUGCGUGAAACCGUUAAGAGGAAAACGGGUGGAACCUCGAAGGUCGAACGGGGGGAUUCAGUCCGACGGCGUCGGAGGGCGGCGGUCGUGCGACCCUUUUUCUCGGGGCGCCUCCGCCGUCCGACCGGCGCGGACGGGCGUAUUUCCCCCUUAGUAGGACGCCGCGACCCGUUGCGGGGUUGCCGAAGGCCCGGGUGGGCGGAACCAUCGCCACUAGAUGGGGACCCCUCGGUGUCCUGGCCGACCCCGCGACGGUCGUCAAUGCAAGUGCCCGCCCGCCAACUCAGUUGGGGGGCGCCUCCUCUGCCGGGGNNNNNNNNNNNNNNNNNNNNNNNNNNNNNNNNNNNNNNNNNNNNNNNNNNUGAAGCACGGACCAAGGAGUCUAACAUGUGUGCGAGUCAUUGGGCGAACUAAACCCAGAGGCGAAAUGAAAGUGAAGGGCCUCCCCAGAGGAGGCCCGAGGGCCGAUCCGCACCCCCUUGCGGGGGCGGCGCAAGCUCGGGACUUGCACACCCCACCGUGGGUGGUGAGUACCAAGAGCAGACAUGUUGGGACCCGAAAGAUGGUGAACUAUGCCUGGCCAGGACGAAGCCAGAGGAAACUCUGGUGGAGGUCCGUAGCGAUUCUGACGUGCAAAUCGAUCGUCGGAGCUGGGUAUAGGGGCGAAAGACUAAUCGAACCAUCUAGUAGCUGGUUCCCUCCGAAGUUUCCCUCAGGAUAGCUGGUGCUCGCUACAGAGUUUCAUCCGGUAAAGCGAAUGAUUAGAGGUCUUGGGGACGAAACGUCCUCAACCUAUUCUCAAACUUUAAAUGGGUGAGAGGUCGGGCUUGCUUGACUGAAGCCUCGACAGUGAAUCUGGAGUACCUAGUGGGCCAUUUUUGGUAAGCAGAACUGGCGCUGUGGGNNNAACCAAACGUCGAGUUAAGGGGCCUAAAUGGACGCUCAUCAGAUCCCAUGAAAGGUGUUGGUUGCUAUAGACAGCAGGACGGUGGCCAUGGAAGUCGGAAUCCGCUAAGGAGUGUGUAACAACUCACCUGCCGAAGCAACUAGCCCUGAAAAUGGAUGGCGCUCAAGCGUCCUCCCGAUACUCGACCGUCGGGGCAGUACCGGCCGACCAGGGUCUCGAAGCCCCGACGAGUAGGAGGGUCGCAGCGGUGAGCGUAGAAGGAGUCCGGCGCGAGCCGGUCUGGAGCCGCCGCUGGUGCAGAUCUUGGUGGUAGUAGCAAAUACUCGAGCGAGAUCCUUGAGGGCUGAAGUGGAGAAGGGUUCCAUGUGAACAUCAGUUGAACAUGGUGCAGUCGAUCCUAAGCCCAAGGAGAAAUCCGCCUUCCACAGUCCCGCCGUGCCGAACACGAGAUAGAUACUUCGUGCGGGCUGCCUGCCUGCCGGCUGCCGGGCGUGCACGCGGGGGGAAGCUCCCCCUGCUUCUGCUGCUGCCCGACGGGUAGGUGGGCUCCCGCACAUCCUCCGCCUCGUCGGCCCACCCAGGCUGAGGGGAGGACACGAGUAUGCCAGGGUCAUCCAUCCAUCAGGAAGGAAGGAGGCGCGUGCGCAGGCAGGGUGGGGUGGAGGAGGACGAAAAGGAGGGAAAAAAAAACCUCCCGAGUAGCACUCUCAACCACCCUCACACCCGCGACAUAUGCAUGCACACGUUACGUCUCCUCCUCCUCCGGAGGCCCGCCAGAGCGACUCGAGCGGUCUAUGCGGCCGGAAGGUUUUGGGCGAAAGGGAAUCCGGUUCUUAUUCCGGAACCUCCACCCGGAGACGGUGUUACCCCUCGCCUAAAGGUACUCCUGGCAACAGGAGGAAACCUGCUGCUGCCGGCCGCGGUCCAGGGAAGA
rnacentral:rRNA from 1 species